UUCCUGAAGGGCCACGAUCGUCUCCAGUGCCUUGGCCAACUGCGCCUGUUUCUCGAUCAGGGCCUCCUCCUUCUCCUUUAGGGCGCCGUCCUUAAGCAUCAUCUCCUUGAGAUGGGCUGCCUUAAGACGCUCCUUGUCGGCACCGUUGGAGGAGUCCUUCUCCUCAAGUGUGGCGCGCAGCUGGUCCAGCUCGGCCUGAAGGGCCGCCUCGCGAU
rnacentral:lncRNA from 1 species